rnacentral:ncRNA from 1 species
GACAAGGGGCGCUGACGGAUGUCGGCUGAGAUCGGAGCUAACCCGCUCCAGUCCCUCAAACCUGAUCCGGGUAAUGCCGGCGUAGGAAUGUUU